rfam:Ophiophagus hannah scaffold1776.1, whole genome shotgun sequence.
CCAACGGCUCUUUUAAGAGCCAUUCAAAAUUGUCUUGAAAGGGUUG